AGACGGCGACAGAAAACCCAGAGUGUUAUGACGCAUCACAACCGCAGCGGAAGAGCUUAAUCACUCUGCCUGGCUUUGAUUUUGUGUUCUCCAGGUGGCUACCGGACGCCGGAACAGCCAAGGCACCAGAGAAACCUGACGCCACAGCAAGUCUCCUCCUCUGGAUCCCAUGUGCUGCAACUGUCCCGGGCUGACAGACUUAGACUUUUUCUUUUAAGAAACAGAGACUUCUCUUUUAAUGGACUUUUAAGUAGCUAGCUUUUUAACCCUCAUUUAGAGAGUUUUCAUUGUUGCAUUGCUGACUCCUGUGUACAAAAAGAACCUUGUAAUAAAUGAUUGUAUUGCACCGCCA